GACGAACGCUGGCGGCGUGCUUAACACAUGCAAGUCGAACGAAGAGCGAUGGACUCUUGCUUCUAUCAAUCUUAGUGGCGAACGGGUGAGUAACGCGUAAUCAACCUGCCCUUCAGAGGGGGAUAACAGUUGGAAACGACUGCUAAUACCGCAUACGAUCUAAUCUCGGCAUCGAGGAUAGAUGAAAGGUGGCCUCUACAUGUAAGCUAUCACUGAAGGAGGGGAUUGCGUCUGAUUAGCUAGUUGGAGGGGUAACGGCCCACCAAGGCGAGGAUCAGUAGCCGGUAGGAGAGGAUGAACAGCCACAUUGGGACGGAGACACGGCCCAGACGCCUACGGGAGGCAGCAGUGGGGAAUCUUCCGCAAGGGACGAAAGUCUGACGGAGCAACGCCGCGUGAGCGAUGACGGCCUUCGGGUUGUAAAGCUCUGUUAAUCGGGACGAAAGGCCUUCUUGCGAAUAGUGAGAAGGAUUGACGGUACCGGAAUAGAAAGCCACGGCUAACUACGUG
rnacentral:rRNA from 1 species